CCUCCACAGGCCCGCCCUGGGGCCGGGGCCAAAUGAAACCGCUGGAGGAGGAAGCACGGAAUCAGGAACCGGCUGGUGGUCGCACAGGCCUGAGUCUGUUCACAGCCACCCCAGGAGCAGCUGCCUGUGGGGGACAACACUAUGGGCUUCUCUUCGGAGCUCUGCAGCACUCAGGGCCAUGGGGCCCUGCAGCAGAUGCAGGAGGCUGAGCUUCGCCUGCUGGAGGGCAUGAGGAAGUGGAUGGCCCAACGAGUCAAGAGUGACAGGGAGUACGCAGGACUGCUUCAUCACAUGUCCCUGCAGGACGGUGGGGGCCAGAGUCGGGGCAUUAGCCCUGAUAGCCCUAUCAGCCAGUCCUGGGCCGAGAUCACCAGCCAAACAGAGGGCUUGAGCAAGGUGCUGCGGCAGCAUGCAGAGGACCUGCACACAGGGCCCCUGAGCAGGCUGAGCCUGCUGAUCCGUGAGCGCCAGCAGCUGCGCAAGACCUACAGCGAGCAGUGGCAGCAGCUGCAGCAGGAUCUUACCAAGAUCCACAGCCAUGACAUCGAGAAGCUGAAGAGCCAGUACCGAACUCUAGCACGGGACAGUGCUCAAGCUAGGCGCAAGUACCAGGAGGCCAGCAAAGACAAGGACCGUGACAAGGCUAAGGACAAGUAUGUGCGCAGCCUAUGGAAGCUCUUUGCCCACCACAACCGCUACGUGCUGGGGGUGCGGGCCGCACAGCUGCACCACCAGCACCACCACCAGCUGCUGCUGCCUGGCCUGCUAUGCUCACUGCAGGAGCUGCAUGAGGAGAUGGCAAGCAUCCUGAAGGAGAUCCUGCAGGAAUACCUGGAGAUGAGCAGUCUGGUACAGGACGAGGUAGUGGCCAUUCACAGAGAGAUGGCUGCAGCUGCUGCCCGCAUCCAGCCCCAGGCCGAGUACCAAGGCUUCCUGAGACAGUAUGGGUCUGCACCUGACAUCCCACCCUGCGUCACCUUUGAUGAUUCACUGCUUGAGGAAGGAGAACCACUGGAGCCUGGGGAGCUGCAGCUGAACGAGCUCACUGUGGAGAGUGUGCAGCACACGCUGACCUCAGUGACAGAUGAACUAUCUGUGGCCUCAGAGUUGGUCCUCAGCCGACAGGAGGUGGUCACUCAGCUGCAGUGUGAGCUUCAGAGCGAAGAACAGAACACCCACUCCCGGGAGCGGGUGCAGCUUCUGGGCAAGCGGCAAGCACUGCUGGAGGCCCUGCAGGGACUGCAGGUGGCGCUGUGCAGCCAGGCCAAGCUGCAGGCCCAGCGGGAGCUGCUGCAGACCAAGCUGGGGCAGCUGGGCCCUGGUGAGCCCCCACCCGUGCUGCUUCUGCAGGAUGACCGCCACUCCACAUCAUCAUCGGAGCCGGAGCGAGAGGGGGGAAGGACACCCACUCUGGAGAUCCUUAAGAGCCACAUCUCUGGAAUCUUCCGCCCCAAGUUCUCGCUCCCCCCACCCCUGCAGCUUGUUCCUGAAGUGCAGAAGCCCCUACACGAGCAGCUGUGGUACCAUGGGGCUAUCCCACGGACAGAGGUGGCGGAGCUACUGCGGCACUCUGGGGACUUUCUGGUGCGGGAGAGCCAGGGCAAGCAGGAGCAUGUGCUGUCGGUGCUGUGGGACGGCCUGCCGCGGCACUUCAUCAUCCAGGCCUCAGACAAUCUGUACCGGCUAGAAGGGGACGGCUUUCCCAGCAUCCCAUUGCUCAUCGACGACCUGCUGUCUUCCCAGCAGCCCGUCACCAAGAAGAGUGGCAUCAUCCUACACAGAGCCGUGCCCCGGGACAAAUGGGCACUGAGCCAUGAGGACCUGGUGCUGGGCGAGCAGAUCGGACGGGGAAACUUUGGAGAGGUGUUCAGUGGACGCCUGCGAGCAGACAAUACCCUAGUGGCAGUGAAGUCUUGUCGAGAGACGCUUCCACCUGACCUCAAGGCCAAGUUUCUACAGGAAGCAAGUGCCCCCCAGGAUCCUGAAGCAGUACAAUCACCCCAACAUUGUGCGCCUCAUCGGUGUCUGCACCCAGAAGCAGCCCAUUUAUAUCGUCAUGGAGCUGGUGCAGGGGGGGGACUUUCUCACCUUCCUGCGGACAGAGGGCGCCCGCCUGCGGGUGAAGACCCUGCUGCGGAUGGUGGGGGAUGCAGCCUCUGGCAUGGAAUACCUGGAGAGCAAGUGCUGCAUCCACCGGGACCUGGCUGCUCGGAACUGCCUGGUGACAGAGAAGAAUGUCCUGAAAAUCAGUGACUUUGGGAUGUCCCGGGAGGAAGCUGAUGGGAUCUAUGCAGCCUCAGGGGGUCUCAGACAAGUCCCCGUGAAGUGGACUGCGCCUGAGGCUCUUAACUACGGCCGUUAUUCCUCUGAGAGUGAUGUAUGGAGCUUUGGCAUCUUGCUCUGGGAGACCUUCAGCCUGGGGGCCUCCCCCUACCCCAACCUCAGCAAUCAGCAGACUCGGGAAUUUGUAGAAAAGGGGGGCCGCCUGCCCUGCCCAGAGCUGUGCCCCGAUGCUGUGUUCAGGCUCAUGGAGCAAUGCUGGGCCUAUGAGCCUGGGCAGCGGCCGAGCUUCAGCAACAUCUGCCAGGAGCUGCACAACAUCCGGAAGAGGCAUCGGUGAGGCUGGGAACCCCUUCUCAAGCCACUGGUCCCCAUAAGCCUGAGUGGUUCCAGUUAAUGCGCUGGACAGCUCUUCACAGUCCUGGACUCCAGCCACCAGCACAUGUCCCACCAGCAGGGUGCCUUAGUUCUGCACCCUGCAGGCAGAAGCAAUAAAACCACUUGUGCCCACUGA